rnacentral:rRNA from 1 species
AGAGUUUGAUCCUGGCUCAGGAUGAACGCUAGCGGCAGGCCUAAUACAUGCAAGUCGGACGGGAUUGGGGGCUUGCCCCCAUGAGAGUGGCGCACGGGUGCGUAACACGUAUGUAACCUACCCUUAUCUGGGGGAUAGCCUCUCGAAAGAGAGAUUAACACCGCAUAAAAUCACAGUACGGCAUUGUACAAUGAUCAAAUAUUUAUAGGAUAGGGAUGGGCAUGCGGGACAUUAGCUAGUUGGCGGGGUAACGGCCCACCAAGGCUACGAUGUUUAGGGGAUCUGAGAGGAUGGCCCCCCACACUGGUACUGAGACACGGACCAGACUCCUACGGGAGGCAGCAGUAAGGAAUAUUGGUCAAUGGAGGCAACUCUGAACCAGCCAUGCCGCGUGCAGGAAGACAGCCCUAUGGGUCGUAAACUGCUUUUAUACCGGAAUAAACCCCUUUACGUAUAAAGGGUUGAAUGUACGGUAGGAAUAAGGAUCGGCUAACUCCGUGCCAGCAGCCGCGGUAAUACGGAGGAUCCAAGCGUUAUCCGGAUUUAUUGGGUUUAAAGGGUGCGUAGGCGGCCUGCUAAGUCAGGGGUGAAAUUUUCCGGCUCAACCGGGACAUUGCCUUUGAUACUGACGGGCUUGAAUGCAGCUGAGGUAGGCGGAAUGUGACAAGUACGGGAAAUGCAUAGAUAUGUCACAGAACA